AGACUUCCCUCAGUUGCCCCAAAUGCAAUUUGAAACCACCAGGAAAGCCAUGGGAGAAUCUAGGAGGAAUAUGGGUCUCCAAGUCCUUGAGCCAUCAGUCUUUGAUGAAGAGACAUGUUCAAUGUGUGGAGCUGACAGGCCCCCUGGAGAAGCACCUGCCAACACAGACUGGAUCCAGUGUGAUAAAUGUGACCGGUGGUUCCAUGCCGUCUGUUUAACCAUGGACCCCAGGACACUUCAAGAGCUGAAGCAAAAGCAAUGGCUGUAUGUGCUGUGCAAAUAAAUAUUUUACCUGUUACCUGUCCUACAAGUGCUCCAUGACCUUUAUAUUACCUUUACAUUUCUCUCGUUCCGCUGCUGCAACUUGCACCACAUCCCAUGAGCCCCAGCCAGCAUGUCUCCUCUCCUUCUCUUCGCUGCUGUGUUGGCCUUAGUGCUGUGUGCAAGGCACCGACUGAUAUGACCAUAUUAACCGGUGAGCUGACUACUUGUACACAAGGAACUAUGUGAUUUUACUGUAUAGAUUUUGAGAAAUUUUCAUUAGAAAAACGUACACAUGCAUAUUCUUGCCUUUGCAAUAUUGCAUUAUGUCAGCACUUUGAAGUGGGCUAUAGACUGAAUUUCACAUAAGUUCAGGCACUGACUGAUAUGACCAUAUUAACUGGUGUUCUGACUACUUGUACACAAGGAGCUAUGUGAUUUUACUGUAUAGAUUUAGAGAAAAUGUCAUUUGAAAAACGUACACAUGCAUAUUCUCGCCUUUGCAAUAUUGCAUUAUGUCAGCAUUUUGAAGUGGGCUAUAGACCGAAUUUCACGUAAGUUCAGGCACUGGUUGAUAUGACCAUAUUAACCGGUGUGCUGACUACUUGUACACAAGGAACCAUGUGAUUUUACUGUAUAGAUUGAGAGAAAAUGUAAUUUGAAAAACGUACAUAUGCAUAUUCUGCUGGCCAAUGGUGUCGAACGUCCGCACUGGCGGCCAACUUGCCACAGUCAGCUGCUCACCCAUAACACUGUGUUGGCAGUGGUACAUGUACUUUUUAAGUAACCAU